UUUGUAUUUUUUUUCAAUUUUGUGAUCUAGGUUAUAGACAAGCCACUUAUAUAUCUGAUGUACUGAACACGACACUGAUGGUGUGUCUAUUUUAUAUUUUAAAGGUAAUAUUGAUGUCUAAAGUUAAAGGUAGCGUUAAGUGGUUCAACGAAUCUAAAGGUUUCGGUUUUAUCACUCCAGAAGAUGGUAGCAAAGAUGUAUUCGUUCACUUUUCAGCUAUUACAAGCGAUGGUUUUAAAACCUUAGCUGAAGGCCAGAGAGUCGAAUUCGAAAUUACUGAUGGCGCUAAAGGCCCAUCAGCUGUGAACGUUGUCUCUCUGUAAUUUAUACAAAUAGAAACGAACAGCUUCUAAACUCGCUCCAGUGUACUGGAGCGAGUUUUA
rnacentral:sRNA from 1 species